GACGAACGCUGGCGGCGUGCUUCAUACAUGCAAGUCGAACGAGAAGCUGACUUCGGUCAGUGGAAAGUGGCGGACGGGCGAGUAAUAUGUAGGAAAUCUGCCUUUAGGAGGGGGACAACAGAGGGAAACUUCUGCUAAUACCCCAUAUGAGCGUAGCUGAAAUGCUUUUCUUGAAAACUCCGGUGCCUAAAGAUGAGCCUGCAUCUGAUUAGCUAGUUGGUAGUGUAAUGGACUACCAAGGCGACGAUCAGUAGCUGGUGUGAGAGGAUGAUCAGCCACAAUGGGACUGAGACACGGCCCAUACUCCUACGGGAGGCAGCAGUAGGGAAUUUUGCGCAAUGGGCGAAAGACUGACGCAGCAACGCCGCGUGAACGAUUACGCCCUUCGGGGUGUAAAGUUCUGUCAGUGGGGACGAAACUUGACGGUACCCACAGAGGAAGCACCGGCUAACUCCGUG
rnacentral:rRNA from 1 species